UACAGAGGUCCCAAGCGUUGUUCGGAUUCACUGGGCGUAAAGGGUGCGCAGGUGGUCGGGUAAGUCUGAUGUGAAAUCCCGCAGCUUAACUGCGGAAUGGCAUUGGAUACUAUUUGGCUAGAGGGUUGGAGGGGGGACUGGAAUUCUCGGUGUAGCAGUGAAAUGCGUAGAUAUCGAGAGGAACACCAGUGGCGAAGGCGAGUCCCUGGACAACUCCUGACGCUGAGGCGCGAAAGCCAGGGGAGCAAACGGG
rnacentral:rRNA from 1 species